rnacentral:rRNA from 1 species
GCCUGGGGUCAUGCCAUACAACACGCCUGAGCUCCUCUGAUCUCUGAAGUUAAAGCAGGGUUGGGCACACUUAGUACUUGGAUAGGAGACUUCCCUGGGCAUACCAGGGUCGUAACAGCAGCCU